GCGAGUUGCCGACCUUGUCAUCUUGUCUCCUUCCGCGAUGCAUUUACUUCGCCGCUGUAAGUCGCAGGGAGACAUGCAUGGUUCGAGUCGGCGACGAUGGGAACUCCUCCUCCGAGCGCCAGUCAGAUCAAGCUUUUAGGAGUGAGCCUCGCUAUGCUAUAUGUACUUCCAGAUUGUGGUGAUUUUCUACUUUGUUAGUGUGUAUUAGGGCUUUGAUGAUGGUUUUGUGAGGAAUUUUAUCAGUUCAGAUUCUAUUAUAUUGGAAUCACGGGGUGGAUCAUCCUUGGGAAAUAUGAAUUUGGAAGUUUUAGUUCCAGUGAAGGUCAUUCAAUCAGUAGUGUUGAUCUGAAUAAGAAAAGAAAACUGCAAGAUGAAUUAGACAGCCAGGAAAUCUCUUCCUCAAAGCAGCGAUUUAGAGUUGGAACCUAUAUUUUUGGUCAAGGCUUGCAAAUCCGAGGGGGUUUUUCUGAAAAGCCAAUUGUUAGAGAAAUACAUAAUGAAUUUGAGCAACCCGAAGAGUCUGAGAAGGAUAGCAAUACUUUUACUGGAGCUUAUGAUAAUUCAAUGUCGUCAAAUGAAAAUUUCAUUAAUUCAACCAUUCAUCAGAACCGACAUUCAGCCUCUUUGAACAGCUACAGUAAUGAAGUUCUUAGAACUCAUUUCUAUUCCUUGGAAAGCAGAGGUAUGAAGGAAGCGAACAAUUUAGAAAUUGCAGAUUUGGAGGAUACUCUUCAGUUUGAUCCCGGAUACGAAGUUAUGGAGGAUGUGCACUAUGGUUUUGGAUUCGAUCAUACCAUCUCAGAAGCCAUGGAUGAUGCCGAAACUGUGAUUCUCUACUCCAAUGAUGUAUUAUUGUCUUCAGGGAGGUGGAACCUUGGAAAAGGUGCUCCUUUGGUGGGUGCAAGGAAGCUGACUAUCGAUCAGGAGUUCGAACAAUACUUUUCAUCUCUCUUGCUAUAACAACUUAUAAGGUAGCUUGACUCUCUAAUCAUCAAAUUCCAAUAAGAUUGGUGCACUGCUGCGUUUGUCUGCUCGAAUGUAUCGAACUUUGACAGGCGUGCUGAAACAUGGGGUCCCACAUGUGGCGCACGCCUAUCAAGGCUCGUCGGGUCAGCAUAGGCAUGCACAUUAUUUUCAUGCAAAACUACUUGAUUGAAAUUUAUCAGGGUGUCUCUCUCUCCUUUGGUGUGUAGACAUUACAAAAUCACCAAAGAACGAUAAUCCAUCACAGCAUAUGUUAGUGAGUUUUCUGUAUAGAGGUAAAGGUUAAUACCACUGAAUUUACACACCCAGCAGGAUCAUUCUGUAUUGAUCUUUUUUAGCUUUUUUUACAUUUUGUGGAUCAGAGCAAGUUUUAUUUAUUAUUGCAAUGAUGGACAACUUUAGAGAAAAA